UACGGAGGGUGCGAGCGUUGUCCGGAAUCACUGGGCGUAAAGGGCGCGUAGGCGGCUUCUCAAGCGUGUGGUGAAAGUCCGGGGCUCAACCCCGGAUCGGCCGUGCGGACUGGGGAGCUCGAGUUCUGUAGAGGCGGGUGGAAUUCCGGGUGUAGCGGUGGAAUGCGUAGAGAUCCGGAAGAACACCGGUGGCGAAGGCGGCCCGCUGGGCAGAGACUGACGCUGAGGCGCGACAACGUGGGGAGCAAACAGG
rnacentral:rRNA from 1 species